rnacentral:tRNA from 1 species
GUAUCCUUAGCUCAGCUGGAUAGAGCAACAGCCUUCUAAGCUGUAGGUCAUGAGUUCGAAUCUCGUAGGAUACACCA